UUGAGUGUUAGGCAAAUCCGGCACUCUUAAGAUUGAGCUGUGAUGGGGAGAGGAAAUUGUUUCCUCGAGUCGUUGAUUUCACACUGCCGAGAAAAGCCUCUAGAUAGAGAUUAGGUGCCCGUACCGCAAACCGACACAGGUAGUCAAGAUGAGAAUUCUAAGGUGAGCGAGCGAACUCUCGUUAAGGAACUCGGCAAAAUGACCCCGUAACUUCGGGAGAAGGGGUGCUCUUUAGGGUGCAAGCCCAGAAGAGCCGCAGUGAAUAGGCCCAAGCGACUGUUUAUCAAAAACACAGGUCUCUGCUAAACCGUAAGGUGAUGUAUAGGGGCUGACGCCUGCCCGGUGCUGGAAGGUUAAGAGGAGUGGUUAGCUUCUGCGAAGCUACGAAUCGAAGCCCCAGUAAACGGCGGCCGUAACUAUAACGGUCCUAAGGUAGCGAAAUUCCUUGUCGGGUAAGUUCCGACCCGCACGAAAGGCGUAACGAUUUGGGCACUGUCUCAACGAGAGACUCGGUGAAAUCAUAGUACCUGUGAAGAUGCAGGUUACCCGCGACAGGACGGAAAGACCCCGUGGAGCUUUACUGUAGCCUGAUAUUGAAAUUCGGCACAGCUUGUACAGGAUAGGUAGGAGCCUUUGAAACGUGAGCGCUAGCUUACGUGGAGGCGUUGGUGGGAUACUACCCUAGCUGUGUUGGCUUUCUAACCCGCACCACUUAUCGUGGUGGGAGACAGUGUCAGGCGGGCAGUUUGACUGGGGCGGUCGCCUCCUAAAAGGUAACGGAGGCGCUCAAAGGUUCCCUCAGAAUGGUUGGAAAUCAUUCAUAGAGUGUAAAGGCAUAAGGGAGCUUGACUGCGAGACCUACAAGUCGAGCAGGGUCGAAAGACGGACUUAGUGAUCCGGUGGUUCCGCAUGGAAGGGCCAUCGCUCAACGGAUAAAAGCUACCCCGGGGAUAACAGGCUUAUCUCCCCCAAGAGUUCACAUCGACGGGGAGGUUUGGCACCUCGAUGUCGGCUCAUCGCAUCCUGGGGCUGUAGUCGGUCCCAAGGGUUGGGCUGUUCGCCCAUUAAAGCGGUACGCGAGCUGGGUUCAGAACGUCGUGAGACAGUUCGGUCCCUAUCCGUCGUGGGCGUAGGAAAUUUGAGAGGAGCUGUCCUUAGUACGAGAGGACCGGGAUGGACAUACCUCUGGUGUACCAGUUGUCGUGCCAACGGCAUAGCUGGGUAGCUAUGUAUGGACGGGAUAAGUGCUGAAAGCAUCUAAGCAUGAAGCCCCCCUCAAGAUGAGAUUUCCCAACUUCGGUUAUAAGAUCCCUCAGAGAUGAUGAGGUUAAUAGGUUCGAGGUGGAAGCGUGGUGACACGUGGAGCUGACGAAUACUAAUCGAUCGAAGACUUAAUCAAUUU
rnacentral:rRNA from 1 species